rnacentral:rRNA from 1 species
UUGGAGGGCAAGUCUGGUGCCCGCAGCCGCAGUAAUUCCAGCUCCAAUAGCGUAUAUUAAAGUUGUUGCAGUUAAAAAGCUCGUAGUUGAAUUUCGGGGUUCUACCGUUGGUCGGGCUAACCAGUCUGUACUAGCGUGUAAAAUUCCUACCUUCUGGAGAACCAUCAUGUUAUUAAUUUAGCGUGGUGGGAAACCAGGACCUUUACCUUGAAAAAUUAGAGUGUUUAAAGCAGGC